rnacentral:rRNA from 1 species
AAUCAACGCUAGCGGCGUGCCUAACACAUGCAAGUCGCACGAGAAAGGGUCUUCGGAUCUGAGUAAAGUGGCGCACGGGUGAGUAACACGUGAAUUAUCUACCUUCGAGUGGGGAAUAACUUCGGGAAACCGAGGCUAAUACCGCAUAAUAUCUACGGAUCAAAGCAGUAAUGCGCUUGAAGAGGAGUUCGCGGCAGAUUAGUUAGUUGGCGGGGUAAUGGCCCACCAAGACGAUGAUCUGUAUCCGGCCGGAGAGGGCGCACGGACACACUGGAACUGAAACACGGUCCAGACUCCUACGGGAGGCAGCAGUGGGGAAUUUUGCGCAAUGGGGGAAACCCUGACGCAGCAACGCCGCGUGGAGGAUGAAGUCUCUUGGGACGUAAACUCCUUUCGAUAGGGAAGAUUAUGACGGUACCUAUAGAAGAAGCCCCGGCUAACUUCGUGCCAGCAGCCGCCGUAA